UACAGAGGGGACAAGCGUUGUUCGGAAUUACUGGGCGUAAAGGGCGCGUAGGCGGCCGAUCUCGUAAGACGUGAAAUCCCCCGGCUCAACCAGGGAACUGCGUCUGAUACUAGUCGGCUCGAAUCCGGGAGAGGGAUGUGGAAUUCCAGGUGUAGCGGUGAAAUGCGUAGAUAUCUGGAGGAACACCGGUGGCGAAGGCGGCAUCCUGGACCGGCAUUGACGCUGAGGCGCGAAAGCCAGGGGAGCAAACGGG
rnacentral:rRNA from 1 species